rnacentral:rRNA from 1 species
AACGUAGGAGACAAACGUUAUCCGGAGUUACUGGGCGUAAAGGGCGUGUAGGCGGUUUGUUAAGUCUGGCGUGAAAGCUCUCGGCUAAACCGGGAGAGGUCGUUGGAUACUGGCAAACUAGAGGACGGUAGAGGCGUGUGGAAUUCCGGGUGUAGUGGUGAAAUGCGUAGAGAUCCGGAGGAACACCAGUGGCGAAGGCGACACGCUGGGCCGUACCUGACGCUAAAGCGCGACAGCGUGGGGAGCAAACAGG